AUGCUCGUGUUGCAAUUCUGAAUAUUGCCGUGUGCCUAACACCCUGCUUUUCAGGGUCUUGCGAAUUGUGGUUUAUUAAAUUUCGGUCCCGGGAUGAAUUGGACAUUUCUCGCAGUCAUGUUGAUUUUCUUCAUCAGGAGGACUCUCCGUGACUUGUGUACGCCAUGUCUUAGCAGUUGAUGGAAAAUCCAUUGUUCUUGGGAGCGACCUCUUAAGAACAUCAGAACCGUUUUUAAAGAGGGGCUGUUAAAUUCAUUUUCGGAUUCUAGUCUACUUUGCCGUAAGAAGCAGUACCAAGGUGGAUGUGGAAACGGCCUAUUAAUCUGCACGGGCCUACCGCACUUAUUAUCCUAUGAAGUUUUUAUUGAAAAUCAGUAGCAGUUCAUAACAAUAAGCAUCUUUUGGUUUCUUCAGAACGCACUAGGAUUUUCGGACUUGUUUCAAAUUGUAAGUGGUAGAAUUUAAUGUUUUUCUAAUUUUUUUACGCAGAUUAUGGUACCGGAGAAAAUGAUUUAUCGCCUUGUAUUGGAGAGAGUUUUGUCGAAAAUAUAACAAGCCGUAAAAGAAAGCAUCUUUAGGUUUCUUUACAACGUGUUCUCAGGACACUGCCUGAUUUUUCCCAAAAUGUUUAACGCGGCGUCGUUCAUGAAAAGCAGCACCGAGGAUGAACCUACCGAACGCUGCCUCUGAAGCAUGGGAAAAAAGAAAGACCAAGUACUUCUUGACUUGAUUUGUCAGAGAUGUGAAACCAGGUCCAAAAUCCAACCAAUUGUGCAGGAUAAGACUCGACGAAACUGAACAAGAACUAAAGAAUUGUUACCUGCGCUUUUAAGAAUAUUUGUUUAUAUAAUAUUGAAACUUGAUUGAAAAUUUAAUGCUGCUGGCAAAUUUAGAUUUACCACGCACUUUAUUUCAAAAUGCAGCCCAAGAUUUCAUUACAAAUUGUUGUUGCAAUAUAUGUUAGAUUGUAAUGCUAUUGCGUAACAUGUCAUAUUGCAUUGCCUUGCGAUAUAAGUUACAUUGCAUUGUUUUUACUAUAGUUAUAUUCAAUUCUACUCCGGGUAUAAAAUUGAAUUAUAUAAAAAAAAGCACCCGACGAAAUCUUUACUUUAUAUUUAUAUUUUAUUCUAUAUUUUAAGCUUUAGUUAUUCUUUAGUUUGACUGAGAUAAGCAACAUAAAACUUUAGUUAUAAAUUUAAUUUGGACUAAAAUGAACAGAAUUCGGCUGAUUUUGAUUCUGUGCACAAAAUGCUACAAUAAUUUUAAACUUGUUUUAGUCUGUAGAUAUAUUGCACAAAUUUGUAUUGUCAAAUUAAUGUGUGUUAUGUUUUGAUUCGAUACCGUCAUGUUGCAGUUAGUGUUAAAUGUCAUUUAAUGCACAUGAAAGCAGUGUUCCUAUGAAUGCAUGACUACCUGAUAAAUUUGAUUAUCAAGUGCAAAUUGUUAGUUUGCAUUUACUCUUUGCUUUGUUAAGUGCAGCAUUGAAGUACAGCACUGUAAAUAGUCAAUUCAAAAUAACAUUUUACAUCUCAUCAACAAGUUUAUUAGGUAGCCAUUUACUGCUAUGGACGUGUUGUCAUGUGUCGCAAAUAGCGUUUAUCAUUAACUACAAUAUGACACUUUUUAUGGCAUCCGGUUCAGAAUCGGCACUUAUAUUUGCUUGCUACAAGUCGAAACAAGUCGUAAAUUUUUAACUUAUAAAUGUAUUUUCACUG